rnacentral:lncRNA from 1 species
AGGAUUAAUAUUUUCCUCUGAAAUAUUACUAUCUGGAGACAAAAUGCUAAGCUGAGUAAUUUUUUAUCCUAAUUCACUUUCUUUAACAAAAUUGGAUUGUUAAAACAUUGCUAUGCUAUUGAGUGAAGAUAGAUAGAUGGAUAGAUAGAUAGAUAGAUAGAAAGAAAGAAAGGAAGGAAGAAAAAGAAAGAAAUGCCCCCCCCCCAGGAGGCUGCAUGGCAUAAUAAGAAACAAGAUAUAAAAUAAAUCAGAACAUUUUGGACAAAAAGGAUUUUAUAGCAUACCACAAGAUGAUGCCAUUAUAAUUUCAUCUUCUUCAAAUUACCAAGUAUAAAAUAUUAAUAUUAGUAAUAGCAAUAAUAUUAAUUAAUAAUAAUAAUAAUAUUCAGAUGCACUCUUUUAGAGUCCAGUAAAACCAUGUUCCACGUGGUAGCUCUGUAUAUCCAUCUGUGCUGCCCUGUCACUAUCACCCCAGUUGCUAAUGUGUCAAUUCAGCAUUGUGCAAGAUUUCAGAUUAUUUUGCCAAACUUUUAAGUUGUUCUGUUACAGCAGACUCAAUGCUAACAACAAUUUUUUCAUCUCACUUAUCCAUUUAGAAGCUUAGUCACAGUAAUUUGGUCUUCCCAUCAUACUAUGUAUAAUAAAUCAUAUUCUAAAUGUUGCCUUUAAUUAACUACUGUUUGCAUGUGUGAAAAGUUUUUGUAAACACAAAACAAAGCUGUCUCUCAAAAUGAACUGAAAUAACCAUUUCUAAUUGCCUCUUAAAAAAUAGUAGAGCUAAAAAUGAGGAGAAUACAGAACUCAAGAGGGAUUUAUUUAUUUUUUUAUUUUUUUUUCUUUUAAUUAUUUUUUAUUUAUUCUAAUUUGUUUUAUAUGACAGCAGAAUGCAAUUCAAUUCAUAUUACACAAAUAGAGCACAAUUUCUCAUGUCUCUGGUUGUACACAAAGUAGAGUCACAUCCUUCAUGUUUUUAUACAUGUACUUAGGGUAAUGAUGUCCAUCUGAUUCCACCAUCUUUUCUACCCCCAUGCCCCUUCCCUUCCUCUCCCUCACCUUUGCCCUAUCUAAAGUUUGUCUAUUCCUUCCAUGCCCCCCAUCCCCAUUAUGAAUCAGCAUCCUUAUAUCAGAGAACAUUAGGCUUUGUUUGGGGAGGAUUAGCUUACUUCACUUAGCAUUAUAUCCUCCAGCCCCACCCAUUUACCUGCAAAUGCCAUGAUUUUAUUCUCUUUUAAUGCUGAGUAAUAGUCCAUUGUGUAUAUAUACCACAUUUUCUUUAUCCAUUCAUCUAGUGAAGUGUAUCUAGGUUGGAUCUGCAAUUUAGCUAUUAUGAAUUGUGCUGCUAUAAACACUCAUGUGGCUGUGUCCCUGUAGUAUGCUGUUUUUAAGUCCUUUGGGUAUAGACUGAGGAAUGGGAUAGCUGGGUCAAAUGGUGGCUCCAUUCCCAGUUUUCCAAGGAUUCUCCAUACUGCUUUCCAGAUUGGUUGCACCAAUUUGCACUCCCACCAGCAAUGUAAGAGUGUACCCUUUUCCCCACAUCCUCACCAACACUUACUGUUGUUUGUAUUCAUAAUUGCUG